rnacentral:misc_RNA from 1 species
UAACCCAAAAAAAGGACCCCGUCAUCUAAUGCAAAGGCAAAUGGGGUAGGCAGGACAAUACUCUACACGAAGCAUUUCCAAUUUUUCAGGUGCCAAUAUGCUUGGAGGAACGUCACUUUACAGCCACCUGAAUAACAGGAGACUACUUCACCCUUCAGGCAUCUCAGCAGUUCCAAAUGAAAAGUCUCCAAUUGGCGCUUUUAUCAGUGAUACAACGCAACACCAACUGCAGCAGAUACGAGAAUACAUCUUUGCUUGAACAGUUGUGCAUUUGUACUCCCAAUGAAUAGUGUAAUUGCCAAAUCAAAUGGUUUGGAGCAAAAUAUCACCAUAGAAAUUCAAAAUAGCUCUUCAGAAUUGAACUUGUUCCAUGCUUCCUU